AAAUUUCACAAUGCGCGCAAGCGUGAUGAAGGAAUUCGGAGUGCUUUCUCUUAUUGAGGAAGCUUUUGUAUACUCUAAAUCUGUAUGCGAAUAAGGGGUGGGUAAGACGGGUGCCAGCCGCCGCGGUAAUACCCGCGCCCCAAGUGGUCACCACGUUUAUUGGGCUUAAAGCAUUCGUAGCCGGUUCACUAAGUUUCUAAUGAAAUCCUACGGUUAACUGUAGGGCUUGUUGGGAGUACUGGUGGACUAGGGACCGGGAGAGGUGCGGGGUAUUCCUGGGGUAGUGGUAAAAUACUUUAAUCCCAGGAGGACCACCUGUGGCGAAGGCGCCGCACUAGAACGGAUCCGACGGUGAGGGAUGAAAGCCAGGGGAGCAAAGCGG
rnacentral:rRNA from 1 species